rnacentral:rRNA from 1 species
AGGAUUCCCCUAGUAACUGCGAGUGAAGCGGGAAAAGCUCAAAUUUAAAAUCUGGCAGCUUUGGCUGUCCGAGUUGUAGUCUGGAGAAGCGUUUUCCGCGCUGGACCGUGUACAAGUCUCUUGGAACAGAGCGUCAUAGAGGGUGAGAAUCCCGUCUUUGACACGGACUACCAGUGCUUUGUGAUGCGCUCUCAAAGAGUCGAGUUGUUUGGGAAUGCAGCUCAAAAUGGGUGGUAAAUUCCAUCUAAAGCUAAAUAUUGGCGAGAGACCGAUAGCGAACAAGUACCGUGAGGGAAAGAUGAAAAGCACUUUGGAAAGAGAGUUAAACAGUACGUGAAAUUGCUGAAAGGGAAACGCUUGAAGUCAGUCGCGUCGUCUAGAACUCAACCUUGCUUUUGCUUGGUGCACUUUCUAGUUGACGGGCCAACAUCAGUUUUGACUGCUGGAAAAAAGCCUUUGGAAUGUGGCACCUCCGGGUGUGUUAUAGCCUUGGGUUGUAUACAGUGGUUGGGACUGAGGACCGCAGCACGCCUUAUGGCCGGGGUUCGCCCACGUACGUGCUUAGGAUGUUGGCGUAAUGGCUUUAAGCGACCCGUCUUGAAACACGGACCAAGGAGUCUAACAUGCCUGCGAGUGUUUGGGUGGAAAACCCGAGCGCGCAAUGAAAGUGAAAGUUGGGAUCCCUGUCGUGGGGAGCACCGACGCCCAUACCAGACCUUCUGUGACGGAUAUGCGGUUGAGCAUGUAUGUUGGGACCCGAAAGAUGGUGAACUAUGCCUGAAUAGGGUGAAGCCAGAGGAAACUCUGGUGGAAGCUCGUAGCGAUUCUGACGUGCAAAUCGAUCGUCAAAUUUGGGUAUAGGGGCGAAAGACUAAUCGAACCAUCUAGUAGCUGGUCUGC